AUCAUCUGCAAUGAAGAUCUUCCAGAAUCAUAUCUUCAUGAUAAAGAUAUGUGAUCCAAAGGAGGCUAAUUUACAGCUAACAACUUAGCUUGCUGUGCUGAAGCCCCAAGGUUCAUCUGUGAUCUCUUGCACUUUGCCAUCAUGAAUGUCACCAGAAAGGUGCUUGCUGGCUAUAUGUACAUCCCCUUUCCCACAUGUCUUGGUGAGAGCACAAAAGGAAACCUUAAAGGUAUCUACUACUCAGGCUAUACCAUUGAUCAUCUUCUCCAGUAUUUUCUUUCUUAGUGCACAAGGCAAUGCUGUGACAGUGAGAAGAAAGGCAUCACCCAUCAGUUCUUGUGAUGGAGGAAGGCUGUGCUGGUGGAAAGAAUGGUUUUUAGAGGUCUGUGUGGAACACAGAGCACCCUGCAUGUGUUGCUCCUCCUGCAGAGUGCACCAGUCUUCUUUUCGCUGUUUGUGAAUCCAUCAGGCAGCCCUGCAGCUCCACAGCUUAGAGCCAAGUCUGGCUGGCUGCAUGAGGCACAUGGGGGACGGGCAGAGGGACAAAGGGGAGUGCAGAAUUGAGGCCCAGCUGGUGGGAAAUGUUAAGAUGGAGGUGACUGUGGGGUGGCACGCUUAGUGUGCAAGAUGCCAGGAGCCUGUGAUGUCUUUGCAGAGUCCAAGCGGUACCACUGAGUGGGUUGACCUUCUCUCCCCCUGUCCACCUCGGGAUGUCAUCAUCUCACCCCUUAGUCCACUCCUGGACUGGAAAACCAGGGGUUGAAAAUCCCACACCGGCACUCCGCAUGGGGUUUUGGGAAACCUGUGUGAGUGCGUGUGUGUGUGUGAGUGUGUGUGUGUGUGUGAGGGAGGCACAUGUCCCAGGGAGGGGCCAUAUGUGCACAGCAGCUCAGCUGGAGUUCCCUCCUCCCUCUCCAAAGCAUCCCUGACACUCUAGGUGAAUAUUUGAAAGACAGGAUCGGGGCUUUGGUUCGAGAGUCUCUUUGUACGGUGCUAACUGGUUUCAGGGCUGUAAUUAUCUCUCCAAGAGAAGCUGUAAAUUGGAUUAAGGCACUGAGUUGCAGCUGAGUGAGCUCCCUCCAUUGCCCCACCUGGUGGGCUGCUGAGCGAUAACAAAAAAUGCCGAGAAAUCGGAUUUGGAUUCUGCUUCACACUCAUGGCUUCCUUCUGGAAAAAAUGAAAUUUUUCCGGCAGAAAGGGCUGGCAUGGGUUUGCUGGCAGUAUCAGUCCUGGGCUCGUAUCAUCUGCUGGCACUCUUCCGGAAACGCGAUCCCCUCCGUUAUCAGAGAGAAAUAAAUAAAUAAACAGCAGGAGAUGUUUUGGCAAGGAAGGAGGAAUCGCACCGAGAGGCGUGCGCAUCCGCACACACAUGCACGCACACAAAUACACACACACACACACACACUCACCUCGGCACGGGGUCCUCACAGCCCGAGCUGCCUGCCGCAGGCAGAGGAGAGAGAGGGAGGUGGCAGCACAGGCACAGGGAGAUGGUUGGGUUUGUUGUUUCGUUUUUAAGUUUUUGUCCUCUGGGCUGAAAGAAAAGCCCAUUUUUAGCAGCUUGUAUUGAAGGCGUAGAAGACAAAGGUGCCUUAUUUGUGAUACAAAUUCCUGCCUGCAUUUGGGGGACCCCUCCAGCGUCUCUACCUGUGCCCCAGGAAUAAGGCGCUGUGUGGAACGCGGCUGAGGACAGCUGGGGGGGACACACCAGCAUCCUAAGGGGGUGCCUGGGGUCCAGCCUGGAUGUGGCAUCCACCAGCACCAGGAGCUCGGUGCAGCGCUCUGAGAAGGGCAGCGCAGAUCACAGCAAGCACGGCAGUAUAACCAUCGAAUAUGGCAAGCAUCAGGAACAGACUGAAGCAUGGAGAAUGGCAGAGCUCCAUCCCCACAGAAGGAGCACAGGGUGAUGCUCCCUCUGCCUGCAGUCCCAUGCCUGAGUCUUGGUGGCUCCCACCAGGAUGCAUGAAACAGGCUCAGAGAAUGACUGAUGAGUACUGAUCAAUGCUAUGAGAAAAUCUGGAAAUAAUGAAACCAAUAUCAAUCCCAUCGCUAACCCUCAGCCAAGAGACUGAAUGUUCCAGCUGGAGAAGGGUAGUGUUUGUGGUUCAACUGGAAAUCUUGGUGAUAUCCAAUGCCAACCCACCUCCCCACUCCUCCAGCUGAGGGAUCCCACAUGCUCCUAUCCACACAGAUGGACCUCAUUCACAGUGCAGCCCAGUGGUUCCCUCAAGGAAGGACUUUUUGACUGCUAAGCCCCAGUCCUGCCCACUCGUGGCUGUGAGGAGGCCAAGGCAAAUCACUGUGGAGAUCUAAGGGAUGUAAUGAGACACCAGCACCCUCUCCUCCCUGCAGCCCCCAGCCCAAGCCCUCCGCCUUGCCAGCCCUUCCCGGCUGUCCCGCUCCUGGGGGAGGGAGGGCACCCGACCUGGACGGUCCUCCUGGGAGGCAAAUAUUGAAUGAGGUGGUGAACGUUGCUUUGGACAAACUCGCUCAGGAAAAUUCCUUCAGGGUUUUAGCUUGCUGGUCUGUAAAGGGAAGUUGUGAAGGUCAAACAUGUUUCAUGUCGUUCUUCUGUGUGCUCGGACUGACCAGAUCCGCAUGCACUUGGGAGAGGACACAGCACUGCCUACCCUAUCUGCAUGAGAAUAAAAGCUCUCCUGCGAAAAUGCGUAUGAUUGCUUUUUGGAAGAGAUGUAAAAUGGAGGUCUUAGCCAUUUGUGGUCACUGAAGAUCCCAUGGCUUCUUUUCAGAAGAUCGGAGCCAUUAGCCCUGGUGUCUUGGCUCCCUCCAGCCCCACUAACUGCUGCUCACCUGAUGCUGGGACCUUCAUUUGGGGCCACUUUCUGCCCUGCCUGUCCCAGGGCUGUGCAGUUCCAUCAGUGGCCAGGGCCCUCCCACAAGAAGGAAGUCUUCAAGAAAAUUCCACUUUGAGUGAGAAAAAUUCCACAUCAGGAAUGUUUGCUGGGACCCCGAGGGAUGCAAAUGGCCCUAAGACUCCAAAGAUGCCCAUUCCCAGCCAUUGUCUGAGAAGAGUACCCAGCCCAGGCUCAUCCCACACAGCUGCAGUGGUUGACUAUUAGCUGGGAGUGCAGCUGUGUGUCUACAGGGUCAGCUCUUGUCCAAAUAGGAAAAAGACCCUGCCAUUUGCUUCCUGAUGCAGAAGUAUCUGAAAAAGGCGCUUGGCAAACAAAAUUGUAGAUGUCUGCUCUUCUCUCUUGCUUUGCCUCUCUCCAUGCUGCAGCCAGAAGGGAUGCUGGGGAGCAGGAAUGCUACUUUUGCAACCUGUUUUCAGGAGAUCCCAGCUUGGGUGUUACAAGGGAGCUGCAGACAGGAAUGACUGAAGGAGAACAAAAGUCGUACUCAAAUGGCUUAGGUAGCAAGAAAGAAUUUUCCUCCAAGACAGUAUUCUGAAGCUUUGCCAAGGAAGAUGGGUAAUGUCCUUCAAUCAUCUUCACUCCUCCUCCUUUGCCUCUAGCCCUGGCUAUUCUCCACUGCGGUCUGCUCACCCUUCGGGCAGCAUGGGAGGUAAGGACCCAUAUCUGGUUUGUUACCGGGUUUUCCUUUGGUUCCAUUUCUUUAUCUCUGCAUCUUAAAUGUGCCCUCAUGGAACCAUCUGCCUUUGUUAGGAGUUUCCUGAACUCCACACAGUGCCAAAGCUGGAAGGGACUUCUCCCAGAGCUCAGUGGGCAUUUCGCUUCUGAGGCAGCUGGAAGGCUGCCUGUCAUGGUUCUUCCAUCUCCUCUCCCUGGGGAUUUUCCCCCUCUCAGGUUCAAGGUGGAGAGGACAUUCCCUGCUAAAUCAGUCCUGGCGCACAGCGCACAAUGGCAUGCAGAGCCAACCGCAGGUAACAAAUUGCGUUGCAAUAAAUGAAGGGUUUGGAGCCAGACAAAAUGUGCGACAUUCGAAGUUCUCAGCUCUCCUCCCUCAGAAAGGCAAUCUGUGACUUCUGGGCCCUCCUUAAUGACCCAGAGCCGGAUGGAAAAUAAUAUUAAUAAUAAUAAAAGAAACAAAGAAGGGGCUGGCGCAUUUUUUAAAUAAAGAAAUUUCCCUCAUCUUGCGGUUAAUUUAAAAGGUUUAUUUCUUGAAAUGAAUCCUCUUCAUCAAAUCUCCGAUCCUUGAAAAUCAGUGCAACCUGCCUCUGUGGAUAAUGAAUUGAUUUGUAAUGUAAAUUAUAUAAAACACCCUCCCCGCCAGCAUUUGUGUGUGAGUGUGUUUAAUCUAAAGCGUUUAAGUCUGAAAAUGAGCUUCUCCAUCAAAAGUCUCGAUUCCAUUUACAUUUCUUGCAUACGAGUCAAUUUGUGUCUGACCCAGUCUAUAAAUCACUGCCAAGGAGUGCUGUGUCUGUACCUCUCCUCUUCCCCCACCCCCUCCCCUCAUCCUUCCAUCCUUGCACAUGCUAUCUUCAAAACGGCAUCUUCAGAUGCCGCCUGUAAACAGCCCCCAUUCUUUGGCCAAAUGCUGGCUAGAGGAUGAGGGACCCUGGCCCCAAGAGGUGUGCAGUAUGGGCAGCAGCAGCCAGGCGAGAAGUCCUGCUCUGCUGCCAGCUGCUCAGGGAGAGUCUCCCAGGGGAAGGUGCCCUCUCUCUCGGUGGCUCCUUUCCAACACGUGGUUGCUUGGCCACCAAAGGAGUCCAUGGCUGAUGCAUGUUACAGGUUACGACCAGGUCUUCUGCAAGUGUACAUUAACAUGGCCUUGGAAAAUCCACCAAGUGGGAAUCAUUUACACCACCAGAGUCUUUGUCUCAGUCUUUGUCUCCCCACGUUUCCCAUCAUGCCAACAUUCAUCCUUCACCUCGUCCUAUUGGAAUACCUCUUUAGCUUUCCUUCUGCGUACUGAAACCAGUGGACCCUCCCCUUGCUGGUUGGAUCUCUGUACGAUAAGUUCACAAGACCCUUUGGAAGAGCAGGGAACAUGCAAACAGUAAUAUCUUCAUCUAGAGGGUCUUGUGACAUCUGCGUGAUAGUAUUAAAGGUGGCUUAGUAGUGAUGCACCUGAGGACAAGCAGGCCAGGAGGUCAUUACUUCAGGUCCCUUCUAUGAAGCAUCAGCAGUUCUGAGGCUGUGAAAUGCAGCUUUCACAGGGCUAUGUUCCAUGGCUAACACAGAAUGCGAAUGGGACCAACAGCCCAUCAUUGACUCUAGUGGGGAAUUUUCUGACACGCUUAUUUUUCUGCUCUAUUUUUUUUCCUUCAGGAAAGACACAAUUGAAACUGAUUUCUAACGUUGGGAGAAAAAUGGAAUCAAGUUUGGAAAUAUUUCAUGAGUCCAAAUUUGAAAAAAUCCAAUAUAUUGGUGUGAAACAGCUUACUGCUCUAGUUGCGGUAUGGAUGCAGUAAAAAGAAAAUUGGAAUCUGAAAUAACGAUUAGGAAAUUGCUCAAAACAAGUUGAGUUUGAUCAACUGAUAUUUCCUGGUUUUGUUUUUGUUUUUUUUUUUUUAAUUUGAAGAGUUGGUGUUGGCUGGCUGGCUGGCUGGAGUUAUAAUGGUGAACUUGCAAAACUGUUCAAGACUUGUGAUGGAAAAUAUUUUUGAAUUCUAAAAAUUUGUUCAAAGCAAGGAAACAAUUUCCUACCCAAAUUCCACUAAUUCUUUCACAAGCAGUGAUUUUUUUUUUUUAGCAGACAGAUUAAGAAAGUCCAGGACAGAGGGCUGGAAUCACAUCUUCGCUGAUAGAAAAUACAUACUGGAAUAGUGCAGGAUUCUCCCUGGGUUUGGCAGUCUGGGGCAGGGACUGUUGCAGAUUUACUCAGAUGAGAACACAGAACACAUCCAGAUCUCCAAAAGAGCAUGAGAUGAAGAACAGGACCAGCAGUCACAUGCCCUACCUGCAGCCAUUGGUGUCCUCUCUCUGCAAACUUUGACCUUCCCAAAUUCUGCUCUCUCUGAGCCAUCCCAGCAGAGGGGGAUUCAAUCCUUUGCCACUGGCUACUUCAAAAUGGGGAAGUGAAACAUCAGACAAGUGAUGUGAGAACUCAGCUCGAGCUGGAAAGUCAAUCUGAGGUGAUGGUCUUCUGAAAAGCCUCAGUUCACAGACCUACUACUGGUAAGGUGUUUCCUCUCUGUGCCUUGUUAUUUACCUUUGAAAAAGGGUUAAUGCUUGUUUUCUCCUAGAUUUUCAUACUGUAGAUAUAAGGUCUUUAGUGCACGGUCUGUAUGUUACUGUAUGAGCAUACAGCUCCAAGCACAACAGGGAUUCUGGCCUGGGAGAGGCCCUUACAAACUGCUCUAAUACAAAUAGGAGGAAGAGUUUUUCCUCGAGAUUACCCCGGGGGGAUUGAGGUCAGACCUUCAGUGAAGGAAGACACAAACCUAUUACCAGUUUCUGUGGGGACUAAUACAGUUUGCACUUCGUUAGAGGAAUUCAAAGUGAUUCGUACACAUUAAUUACUCCUUGCAGCAUCCCAGCUGGAUAAAUAUUAUUACCUUCAUUUUACAGAAAGCGUAACUGAGAUGUAGAGAAGUUCGUUUGUUUGACUCCAACUGUACAGCGCGCCAACGGCAGAAGCCAGGAAUAAAACAUGAGAGAGGACUGCCAGUCCCACCUCCCUCUAAACUAUGGGUCCCAAAUCUUUUUUGCCCAAGCGAAGGGAGCAGCUGCAUCCCCCGGCUGGGCUGGGCACUGCCGUGAGGGCUCUGCACACCGAGAGCAGUGCAUGCGGCACCGCCUGGGAGGCACCGCUCCAAGCCUCAGCCUGCAUCGCCUUGCACAGACAGGAGGAGGAAAUGAAAGUGCAAUUAGCUGGAAACAAAUGAAUUCGUGUUGCAUAUAUUUCCCAAGCUGAUGGGUUGGUGAAUGAACCACUCGUUAUUUCAUGAAGCAGCAUCUUUAAAGGUCUGUAGAACAACUUGGGAAAAACACAGCCUUGCUGUUGUGACAUUUUUUGCAGUAUUUCCAAGCGCUGUCUGUCCCGGUUGCAGGCAUUGGUGCUUCUAUAUUUGCAUAUUUUUUUUCUCAUCAAAAGGAAUUGUUGAAGUUUUGUAGUUGUUUUAACUUCUCGCCUUGGAUAUUUCAGUUCUUCACAUAACCACAUUUUCAGUGUCAGCACGUGGCCUAGAAAGAAAAUAUUUGGUACCUUAAAUACCAAACUCUCUUCUGUCCUAUUUUCCCACCUUUCCUAUACUAUACCGUUGCUUAACAAUAAGUGCUCUCCUCUCCAAAAGGAACACUUCUUUAAAGCCAAAGGGAUUUAAAAAGGAAAGAGAGAACACAAAGCAGAAACAAAAAUACAGAACAAAAGAGCAUAAAACCGCGAGUUGGUUUUGAGUUUGAACUACAAUUUCUUCUUAUGAUUACUGGGGAAAAAAAUAACAUACCUUAAAGAAAAGAUUCCUUUUUUUUUUUUUUUUUUCCUACAAGAAAAUCUAUGCAUCCAGAAAUUUCCCAACCAUUUAUAAUCUGUCGCAUUCCCCUGUGUGGUGAGCAGAGGCACUCGGUAUUCCUCUGCCGCGGCAGAUAGGCUCAGAAGAUGAGAGCAGAGUGAUGAAGUGUGAGACCAGAAGUGUGAGCUUCCCAAAGGUGACAAAAUGGGUUCUCCAGGUGAUGGCAUAGGAAACGAGCAAAGCAUGGACUUGAAAGUUUGAGCGCUUACUGUAUCCAAAACAGACUGAAAACCUAGGAACGAAGAGCCAAGAGCUGGACAGAGGGAGACAGAGAGCCCCUGUUGGUUCAGGAGCCCACCAGCUUACCCAUGGCGGUACAGUGGGGCUGCACAAGGAGCCGGCAAUGGGCAAGACAUGGAGGAACAUGGAGGCAACAUUUCCUGAAACACAGCUACUUCUGGGAUGGAAAAGCAUCAGUCAUCACACAGCAGGAUUUCUUGGAGGAGAAAUGAUAACUCUUUUUUUUUUUUUUUUUCUCCCAUUUGAACUGCAGGCUGGAAUAUAGGCCGGCAGAAUGUAAUUAUCCAGGCUGGAAUUUGGCCAAGACGCUGGGGCUAACAGCCCUACUGUUUCAAAAUAUGCCACAGUACCCUAAAUGAUCACAUCUUGCAGGAUUUGAUUUUGCAUUUCAUCCAAAACAAUGUUGGGAAGGGAAGGAGGAGAGAGGAAUGAACACAAAGCGGUCCCAUCUAACCCCGUAUCUGCUGGAAGUUUAGCCCAGAGCAGCUCCUGACAUUCACUUUCAUUUUCAGUGAAAACAUUGAAACAAG
ensembl:lncRNA